CGUCAGCUCGUGCCGUGAGGUGUCGGGUUAAGUCCCAUAACGAGCGCAACCCCUACCUGCUAGUUGCCAGCGGGUCAUGCCCGGGGACGUCUAGCGGAACUGCCAGCGUAAGCUGCGAGGAAGGUGGGGAUGACGUCAAAUCAGCACGGCCCUUACGUCCAGGGCUACACACGUGUUACAAUGGCCAGUACAGAGGGCAGCCACCCCGCGAGGGGCGCUAAUCCUAAAAGCUGGUCCCAGUUCGGAUCGGAGUCUGCAACCCGACUCCGUGAAGCUGGAUUCGCUAGUAAUCGCGCAUCAGCCACGGCGCGGUGAAUACGUUCCCGGGCCUU
rnacentral:rRNA from 1 species